rnacentral:rRNA from 1 species
GAUGAACGCUGGCGGCGUGCCUAACACAUGCAAGUCGAACGGAGAUGUUCGCUGCGGAGUCUUCGGACAAAGCUUGAACAAUCUUAGUGGCGGACGGGUGAGUAACGCGUGGGCAACCUGCCUUGCACAGGGGGAUAGCAGUUGGAAACGACUGGUAAUACCGCAUAUCUUGGAGAAAACGCAUGUUUACUUCAAGAAAACAUUAGUGGUGCAAGAUGGGCCCGCGUCCGAUUAGAUAGUUGGUGGGGUAACGGCCUACCAAGUCGACGAUCGGUAGCCGACCUAAGAGGGCGGACGGCCACAUUGGGACUGAGACACGGCCCAGACUCCUACGGGAGGCAGCAGUGGGGAAUAUUGCACAAUGGAGGGAACUCUGAUGCAGCGACGCCGCGUGAGCGAAGAAGUAUUUCGGUAUGUAAAGCUCUAUCAGUAGGGAAGAUAAUGACGGUACCUACAUAAGAA